rnacentral:rRNA from 1 species
UUUAUGGAGAGUUUGAUCCUGGCUCAGGAUGAACGCUGGCGGCGUGCCUAAUACAUGCAAGUCGAGCGAACGGACGAGAAGCUUGCUUCUCUGAUGUUAGCGGCGGACGGGUGAGUAACACGUGGAUAACCUACCUAUAAGACUGGGAUAACUUCGGGAAACCGGAGCUAAUACCGGAUAAUAUUUUGAACCGCAUGGUUCAAAAGUGAAAGACGGUCUUGCUGUCACUUAUAGAUGGAUCCGCGCUGCAUUAGCUAGUUGGUAAGGUAACGGCUUA